UACGGAGGGUGCAAGCGUUAAUCGGAAUUACUGGGCGUAAAGCGCACGCAGGCGGUCUGUCAAGUCGGAUGUGAAAUCCCCGGGCUCAACCUGGGAACUGCAUUCGAAACUGGCAGGCUUGAGUCUCGUAGAGGGGGGUAGAAUUCCAGGUGUAGCGGUGAAAUGCGUAGAGAUCUGGAGGAAUACCGGUGGCGAAGGCGGCCCCCUGGACGAAGACUGACGCUCAGGUCCGAAACCGCCUGGAGCUUACCGCAUCAGAUGGCCCCGUAGUCC
rnacentral:rRNA from 1 species